rnacentral:rRNA from 1 species
GACGGAGGGUGCUAGCGUUGUUCGGAUUUACUGGGCGUAAAGGGCGCGUAGGCGGUCCGAUAAGUCCCGUGUGAAAUCCCUCGGCUCAACUGAGGAAUGGCACGGGAAACUGACGGGCUUGAGUUCGGGAGAGGGAAGCGGAAUUCCGGGUGUAGCGGUGAAAUGCGUAGAUAUCCGGAGGAGCACCGGUGGCGAAGGCGGCUUCCUGGACCGACACUGACGCUGAGGCGCGAAAGCUAGGGGAGCAAACGGG